rnacentral:rRNA from 1 species
GGGCCCGCACAAGCGGUGGAGCAUGUGGAUUAAUUCGAAGCAACGCGAAGAACCUUACCUAGCCUUGACAUCCUUGGAACUCUCCCGAAAAGGAGAGGUGCCCUUCGGGGAAUCAAGUGACAGGUGCUGCAUGGCUGUCGUCAGCUCGUGUCGUGAGAUGUUGGGUUAAGUCCCGCAACGAGCGCAACCCUUGUCUUUAGUUGCCAGCAUUUAGUUGGGCACUCUAGAGAGACUGCCGGUGUCAAGCCGGAGGAAGGUGGGGACGACGUCAAGUCAUCAUGGCCCUUACGGCUAGGGCUUCACACGUGCUACAAUGGACGGUACAAAGGGUCGCGAAGCCGCGAGGUGGAGCCAAUCCCAAAAGCCGUUCUCAGUUCGGAUUGGAGUCUGCAACUCGACUCCAUGAAGUCGGAAUCGCUAGUAAUCGUGGAUC